GGGUUGUGAGGUUAAGCGACUAAGCGUACACGGUGGAUGCCCUGGCAGUCAGAGGCGAUGAAGGACGUGCUAAUCUGCGAUAAGCGCCGGUAAGGUGAUAUGAACCGUUAUAACCGGCGAUUUCCGAAUGGGGAAACCCAGUGUGAUUCGUCACACUAUCAUUAACUGAAUCCAUAGGUUAAUGAGGCGAACCGGGGGAACUGAAACAUCUAAGUACCCCGAGGAAAAGAAAUCAACCGAGAUUCCCCCAGUAGCGGCGAGCGAACGGGGAGGAGCCCAGAGCCUGAAUCAGCAUGUGUGUUAGUGGAAGCGUCUGGAAAGGCGCGCGAUACAGGGUGACAGCCCCGUACACAAAAGCGCAUGUGCUGUGAGCUCGAUGAGUAGGGCGGGACACGUGGUAUCCUGUCUGAAUAUGGGGGGACCAUCCUCCAAGGCUAAAUACUCCUGACUGACCGAUAGUGAACCAGUACCGUGAGGGAAAGGCGAAAAGAACCCCGGCGAGGGGAGUGAAAAAGAACCUGAAACCGUGUACGUACAAGCAGUGGGAGCACAGGUUUACCUGUGUGACUGCGUACCUUUUGUAUAAUGGGUCAGCGACUUAUAUUCUGUAGCAAGGUUAACCGUAUAGGGGAGCCGUAGGGAAACC
rnacentral:rRNA from 1 species